rnacentral:rRNA from 1 species
GUCGAGCGGACAGAUGGGAGCUUGCUCCCUGAUGUUAGCGGCGGACGGGUGAGUAACACGUGGGUAACCUGCCUGUAAGACUGGGAUAACUCCGGGAAACCGGGGCUAAUACCGGAUGGUUGUUUGAACCGCAUGGUUCAAACAUAAAAGGUGGCUUCGGCUACCACUUACAGAUGGACCCGCGGCGCAUUAGCUAGUUGGUGAGGUAACGGCUCACCAAGGCGACGAUGCGUAGCCGACCUGAGAGGGUGAUCGGCCACACUGGGACUGAGACACGGCCCAGACUCCUACGGGAGGCAGCAGUAGGGAAUCUUCCGCAAUGGACGAAAGUCUGACGGAGCAACGCCGCGUGAGUGAUGAAGGUUUUCGGAUCGUAAAGCUCUGUUGUUAGGGAAGAACAAGUACCGUUCGAAUAGGGCGGUACCUUGACGGUACCUAACCAGAAAGCCACGGCUAACUACGUGCCAGCAGCCGCGGUAAUACGUAGGUGGCAAGCGUUGUCCGGAAUUAUUGGGCGUAAAGGGCUCGCAGGCGGUUUCUUAAGUCUGAUGUGAAAGCCCCCGGCUCAACCGGGGAGGGUCAUUGGAAACUGGGGAACUUGAGUGCAGAAGAGGAGAGUGGAAUUCCACGUGUAGCGGUGAAAUGCGUAGAGAUGUGGAGGAACACCAGUGGCGAAGGCGACUCUCUGGUCUGUAACUGACGCUGAGGAGCGAAAGCGUGGGGGAGCGAACAGGAUUAGAUACCCUGGUAGUCCACGCCGUAAACGAUGAGUGCUAAGUGUUAGGGGGUUUCCGCCCCUUAGUGCUGCAGCUAACGCAUUAAGCACUCCGCCUGGGGAGUACGGUCGCAAGACUG